rnacentral:snRNA from 1 species
GUAUAUGAGGGUGAUCUGGGUGCAACAAUCUGUCAGAUCACUUAUCCAGGAUUGACUAAGGCUGAUUAGGCAGUGUCUCCUUCCUCCAUUACCACUGCAUGUGUGUCCCUCCCCAACCUGCACAAUUGGUUCAAAAGGAUAACCUUCCCCAAUAGAGGAAUAACAGUCUUUGAUAGAAAGUAUGAGUAGCUGCACUCCCCUGCUAGAACCUCCAAACAAGGGGACUGGGGAGAUGAUUCAGUAAGCAAAGUGCUUGCCACACAAGCAUGAGGACCAGAGUUCAGAUCCCUAGCACCACAUAAGCUGGGUGUG